UACGUAGGCAGCGAGCGUUGUUCGGAAUUACUGGGCGUAAAGAGUGUGUAGGCGGUGCUCUAAGUUCGGUGUGAAAUCUCCUGCUUAACUGGGAGGGUGCGCCGGAAACUGGAGUGCUUGAGCGUGGGAGAGGAAAGCGGAAUUCCUGGUGUAGCGGUGAAAUGCGUAGAUAUCAGGAGGAACACCUGUGGUGUAGACGGCUUUCUGGACCAUAGCUGACGCUGAGACACGAAAGCGUGGGGAUCAAACAGG
rnacentral:rRNA from 1 species